rnacentral:rRNA from 1 species
UACGUAGGGGGCAAGCGUUGUCCGGAAUCAUUGGGCGUAAAGAGCGCGUAGGCGGUCCGGUAAGUCGGUUGUGAAAGCUGGGGGCUCAACCCUCAGAGGCCGACCGAUACUGUCGGGCUAGAGUCCGGAAGAGGCGAGUGGAAUUCCUGGUGUAGCGGUGAAAUGCGCAGAUAUCAGGAGGAACACCAAUGGCGAAGGCGGCAUCCUGGACCAACACUGACGCUGAGUGAGCGAAAGCGUGGGGAGCGAACAGG